rnacentral:rRNA from 1 species
GCACAAGCGGUGGAGCAUGUGGUUUAAUUCGAUGCAACGCGAAGAACCUUACCAGGAUUUGACAUCCCCCUGACCGGUGUAGAGAUACCACCUUCCCUUCGGGGCAGGGGUGACAGGUGGUGCAUGGUUGUCGUCAGCUCGUGUCGUGAGAUGUUGGGUUAAGUCCCGCAACGAGCGCAACCCCUAUUGUUAGUUGCCAUCAUUCAGUUGGGCACUCUAGCGAGACUGCCGGUAAUAAACCGGAGGAAGGUGGGGAUGACGUCAAAUCAUCAUGCCCCUUAUGACCUGGGCUACACACGUGCUACAAUGGUUGGUACAACGAGUUGCGAGUCGGUGACGGCGAGCUAAUCUCUUAAAGCCAAUCUCAGUUCGGAUUGUAGGCUGCAACUCGACUACAUGAAGUCGGAAUCGCUAGUAAUCGCGAAUCAGAAUGUCGCGGUGAAUACGUUCUCGAGUCUU